rnacentral:tRNA from 1 species
GGGGAUAUGGCGAAAUUGGUAGACGCUACGGACUUAAAAUCCGUCAACUUUAGAAAUCGUGAG